UCUGGUGCCCAUAGCGAGGCGGAACCACCCCUUCCCUUCCCGAACAGGACCGUGAAACACCUCCGCGCCAAUGAUAGUCGGUUAACCUCCGGCGAAAGUAGGUCAGCACCAGAC
rnacentral:rRNA from 3 species